ACAAAUCUAUUUAAUAAUAUGACAUUGGUUCGGGGUAAAACUUGAACUUAAUGUAAUAUUUACCCGGAGCCGGUUUGGCUCUGGCAAUUUUCGUGGUGGUCAAACGGCCGCCGCGAAGAUUGUCAACUGAGUUAUUGAGGUGAAAUAUAUUCAAUAACACAUAAACUCGAUUGCUAUUUGUUUGACAGUGUACUAUUUAAUUUGCUUCAUUGCUGAUUAAAUAUUAUUCAAAAAAUAAAUA
rnacentral:misc_RNA from 1 species